UUCCAGGGCAGAUAGAUCGUGACAUGAUCAACAAUUUUACUUCCUGUCAGAUUUGCUCUUAAUGCUUUGGUUUUUGAGUUAUAAGCCAAAAACUGCAUUUUACCCCCAUGUUCUAUUUUUAGCCAUGGCGGCCAUCUUGAUUUGUUGGCCGAGUUACCGGACACAUUUUUUUUAACUAGAUACCCCAAUGAUGAUUAUGGCUAAGUUUGGUUAAAUUUGGCCCAGUAGUUUCAGAGGAGAAGAUUUUUCUAAAAGAUUACUAAGAUUUACAAAAAAUGGUUAAAAAUUGACUAUAAAGAGCAAUAACUCCUAAAGUGGUCAACUGACCAUUUUGGUCAUGAUGACUUAUUUGUAGAUCUUACUUUGCUGAACAUUAUUGCUGUUUACAGUUUAUCUCUAUCUAUAAUAAUAUUCAAGAUAAUAACCAAAAACAGCAAAAUUUCCUUAAAAUUACCAUUUCAGGGGCAGCAACCCAACAACGGAUGUCUUGAUUCAUCUGAAAAUUUCAGGGCAGAUAGAUCUUGACCUGAUGAACAAUUUUACCCCAUGUCAGAUUUGCUCUAAAUGCUUUGGUUUUUGAGUUAUAAGCCAAAAACUGCAUUUUACCCCUAUGUUCUAUUUUAAGCCAUGGCGGCCAUCUUGGUUGGUUGGCCGGGUCACCGGACACAUUUUUUAAACUAGAUACCCCAAUGAUGAUUAUGGCCAAGUUUGGUUAAAUUUGGCCCAGUAGUUUCAGUGGAGAAGAUUUU
rnacentral:lncRNA from 1 species